UACGUAGGGAGCAAGCGUUAUCCGGAUUUAUUGGGUUUAAAGGGUGCGUAGGCGGGCUGUUAAGUCAGCGGUCAAAUGUCGGGGCUCAACCCCGGCCUGCCGUUGAAACUGGCGGCCUCGAGUGGGCGAGAAGUAUGCGGAAUGCGUGGUGUAGCGGUGAAAUGCAUAGAUAUCACGCAGAACUCCGAUUGCGAAGGCAGCAUACCGGCGCCCGACUGACGCUGAGGCACGAAAGCGUGGGGAGCAAAUAGG
rnacentral:rRNA from 1 species